rnacentral:rRNA from 1 species
UACGAAGGGGGGCUAGCGUUGCUCGGAAUCACUGGGCGUAAAGGGUGCGUAGGCGGGUUUUUAAGUCAGGGGUGAAAUCCUGGAGCUCAACUCCAGAACUGCCUUUGAUACUGAAGAUCUUUGAGUAUGGAAGAGGUGAGUGGAAUUCCGAGUGUAGAGGUGAAAUUCGUAGAUAUUCGGAGGAACACCAGUGGCGAAGGCGGCUCACUGGUCCAUUACUGACGCUGAGGUGCGAAAGCGUGGGGAGCAAACAGG